rnacentral:rRNA from 1 species
AAUAUUUGACAAGGGGGGGAACGCUGAGCCAGCCAUGCCGCGUGUGUGAAGAAGGUCUACGGAAUGAAAAGCACUUUAAGUUGGGAGGAAUAGUUGUAGGCUAAUACCUUGCAAUUUUGAUGUCACCAACAGAAUAAGCACCUGCUAACUUCGUGCCAGCAGCCGCGGUAAUACGAAGGGUGCAAGCGUUAAUCGGAAUUACUGGGCGUAAAGCGGGCGUAGGUGGUUUGAUAAGUUGCAUGAGAAAGCCCCGGGCUCAACCUAGGAAUUGCAUCCAAAACUGUCUGACUCGAGUAUGGCAGAGGGUGGUGGAAUUUCCUGUGUAGCGGUGAAAUGCGUAGAUAUAGGAAGGAACACCAGUGGCGAAGGCGACCACCUGGGCUAAUACUGACACUGAGGUGCGAAAGCGUGGGGAGCAAACAGG